UACGUAGGUGGCAAGCGUUAUCCGGAUUUACUGGGUGUAAAGGGCGUGUAGGCGGGAAAGCAAGUCUGAUGUGAAAACCACGGGCUCAACCUGUGGCCUGCAUUUGAAACUGUUUUUCUUGAGUACUGGAGAGGCAGACGGAAUUCCUCGUGUAGCGGUGAAAUGCGUAGAUAUGAGGAGGAACACCAGUGGCGAAGGCGGUCUGCUGGACAGCAACUGACGCUGAGGCGCGAAAGCGUGGGGAGCAAACAGG
rnacentral:rRNA from 1 species